rnacentral:rRNA from 1 species
GCGACCCCAGGUCAGGCGGGGCUACCCGCUGACUU